AACGAACGCUGGCGGCAUGCCUAACACAUGCAAGUCGAACGAGACCUUCGGGUCUAGUGGCGCACGGGUGCGUAACACGUGGGAAUCUGCCCUUUGCUUCGGAAUAACAGUUAGAAAUGACUGCUAAUACCGGAUGAUGUCGAAAGACCAAAGAUUUAUCGGCAAAGGAUGAGCCCGCGUAGGAUUAGGUAGUUGGUGGGGUAAAGGCCUACCAAGCCGACGAUCCUUAGCUGGUCUGAGAGGAUGAUCAGCCACACUGGGACUGAGACACGGCCCAGACUCCUACGGGAGGCAGCAGUGGGGAAUAUUGGACAAUGGGCGAAAGCCUGAUUCAGCAAUGCCGCGUGGGUGAUGAAGGCCUUAGGGUUGUAAAGCUCUUUUACCAGGGAUGAUAAUGACAGUACCUGGAGAAUAAGCUCCGGCUAACUCCGUG
rnacentral:rRNA from 1 species